CGCAAUCCCCCCAGGGAGUAGCGGGGAAUUCUUAUCCUGCGGUUUGUUGCGCUAACAUCCGUUUCGGUUUUUUUUUAUAGCUGGGUGUGUGCGUGCGAGCUCCCGAACCGCUUUCAGCAUGGCCCUGAUGUGGGGGUGAAGCGGCGGUGUCGCGCAUUCGAAGCGGACAAAGUGAAAUGCAUCCCCGGAGCGCUGAACCUGUUCCCUCCCGCACACAAAGCCUGUGAAGCAGGCCGUGUUUUUCCUCGCACAGAGACACUGCGCCGAUGAUGCUCAAAACAUGUCGGGGAAUCAUUUCAAAGGACACGAAGUCAGCUGCUGCAUCAAAUACUUCAUUUUUGGAUUCAAUAUCCUGUUCUGGCUGCUGGGCAUGGCCUUAGUUGGAAUUGGAUUAUGGGCAUGGAGUGAGAAGGGGGUUCUGUCCAACAUCUCAUCCAUCACUGACCUGGGGGGUCUGGACCCAGUCUGGCUCUUCAUGGUGGUCGGAGGGGUCAUGUUUAUUCUGGGCUUUGCCGGAUGCAUUGGAGCGCUGCGAGAAAACACCUUUCUGCUUAAGUUUUUCUCUGUGUUUCUGGGAAUCAUCUUUUUCUUGGAGUUGACGACGGGAGUCCUGGCAUUUGUCUUUAAGGACUGGAUUAAAGACCAGCUCAACCUGUUCAUCAACAAUAACAUCCGGGCUUACCGAGACGACAUCGAUCUACAGAACCUCAUCGAUUUCACUCAGGAAUACUGGGAGUGCUGUGGUGCGUUUGGAGCAGAUGACUGGAACCUGAACAUCUAUUUUAACUGCACUGAUGGAAAUCCCAGUCGGGAAAAGUGUGGAGUUCCCUUCUCCUGCUGCACCAAAGACCCAGCGGAGGAUGUAAUAAACACACAGUGUGGAUACGACAUUCGAGCUAAACCAGACUCGGAGCAGAAGGACUACAUCAAUGUGAAAGGCUGUGUGCCGCAGUUUGAGAAGUGGCUCCAGGACAACCUCACCUUGGUGGCUGGGAUCUUCAUAGGAGUGGCACUGCUGCAGAUUUUUGGGAUUUGUUUGGCCCAAAACUUAGUGAGUGACAUCGAGGCUGUGCGGGCGAGCUGGGUGCCCCCCCCUCUCUCCAUGCGUCGACUCCCACCACCCUCCAGCAAGAAAGCAUCGGCUUACUACUCAUGAGACACACACAUGCACUCUAUGUGUGUUUGUAGCCGUUUCUUUACCUAAUGCUGAAACAGCAUUUAAACUUUAACAGCCAGUCUUUGAACACACCUCCUUGAGCAGAAUGUCAGGGAGGAUUCAGAAGACGUCACUGCUCACCUGCACCAUUUUGCUCACUGAACCAGCACCUUUUUUCAAGGCACUAAUAUGUGUGUGACUACUGUAAAAAGAGAACGUUGGAGAGGAUGGUUAAACAGCCACUACAUGCUGAUCGUCACAGUGCUCCAGUUUUGAUAGCUACGUCUAGAGAGUAGGAGUUUUGAUACAUCUUUUUGAUAUUAGAUCAGUAUUUUUCACUGUGGAAAUUAAGCUCCAUUGCUAAACCCGUCAUAUAGGACUGUGAAAUAGUGUAUAAAAGAGACUGAGGCGUCCUUCUUUCAAAGUUCAGUGCUUGCUUCACGAACCUUCCACCGCGUGUCCAGGACUGAAAGCACAGGAGCGGGAGAGUCACAGAAGUAGGGAAGCUAUCAAACUUCGGCUGGUUUCGGACUGAAAGCUGGAUCUCCUUUUUUCCCAAAAUAAUACUUUACGGAUGUUGGCACAGGACUUCUUCAGCUACCACUGUGUCUCGUCACUUUAUCUGCAGAGUUUACCGGACUUUCUGUUGUUGCGCUAACAGUGAAUUUUAAUUUCUGUUUCAGUGACUGUCAGUCUAGCAAUAAGCAUAUUUGUGCGUGCUGUGGUGAUGGUAUAGAUGAACUAAAUACUCUCCUAACACUAACUCAACCCGCAUUGAAGAGGAAGUGAGCACAAAUUACUUCAGCUAUUCAGCACAAUGGGAUGCUACUCAACUAACGGAAUAAACUACCACUAUGUAGCACCAUUGUGUGCCACAGAUUCUGAGCGUCAUGGUCGCAUUUCCGAUGGCGUGGCAUGAGUAUUGGAAACUGUCAAGUGCAGAGGGCUGACAGUGAAAGUCUGCUCAGAUUUCUGAUAUUCUGACCCCCCUUUUUAGACCAUUUUGUUUAAACAAAGUUCUUUUACAGCUGCUUGUGCUUAGACUGCAUUACACAGGUAAAAAUUUUGGCUUCUUUUGUUAAAAGAAUAGAUUUGGAUCCGGGUAGUCACAUGCCAUAUGUGCACUCACAGAGGGACUUUGUAGUGUAAUCCUUCCCAGCCUUUAAAUAAUAAUGACCUCCCUUUGAGAAUCUACCUUCCAAAGUUAUCUGAAGCUAAUAUGAGGCUUCAACGGUCUGAGUUAGCCAGAUCAAGCGCUUACCUUUGCCGUGGCAUUCAUUUUGUCCUGACGACAAAUGUACAUGCAGCCACCAGGACGUAUCCUGAUGCCACGGCUCAGCAGGUAAACACUGUCCAGGGAAAACCCAGAGAGAGAGAGAAUUUCGUACGAAAAAGACCAAAACAUUUGGGAUAACACAGUCGACGUGGCUAACUCAGACUGCUAAAGCGUACUCGAUGCAGUAGCAGCUUCAGCUGAACUCGUGGGUUCUGUCCCCCAUCUCUUACAAUGUAGUCGCUCUAUGAAGGAAUGGUUUCAAGGCUGUUUGAAGGUAUGGAGAGUAGGAAUGAUUCCAGCAGCCAGAGACUUUUAACGUGCAUAUAGCAUGUGAGUGUUGGGGAAAAAAAUCCAAAAAAGGUUUGUGAAAAAAUAAGUUUAUUUGGCACUGAAAAAGUGUGGUUUUGGUAUUUGGUGUGAAACCAAAAUUCCGAUGCUGUACUGGCACCAGUAUUAAAAAAAAACUGCGAGGGAUGCUCAGUCUUAAUCAUACCACAUUACGUAUGAAGAGGUCGUUGAGUUUCACCGGGCUAUUAUUACAGUCCUGAAGGUUUGGAAAGUGACUCUUAAUUCCGAUCUUUUUUAAAAAGUUUGUAGAUGAAGAAGUGUGUUCAAGUCCUAAUACACGAGUGACCACAAAAUGAAUGUUGCUGUACACCCUGUCCUUUCAUAUUGUGGUUAGUACUUUGCCAAGGAGUCAAUGUCUUUGCAGGACAUUUCAAAAACGUGCAGGUUUCAGCGAAGCCGGAUGGAACGUUUGAGCGUUAAGUGUUAACGUUGAGGUGAAGGACAUUUUAUCAUAUUGUGAGAUGGACGUUUUUGAACGUGUUCAAUAUUUUCCUCAUACAUUACUGCACUUGAAUGAAAACAAAUCUGGUACAUGUAUCAUAUGAUUGUCUUUCACUAUGUGUAUUUUGAGGCAGAUCUGAACAGUAUACACAAUAUUGAAUACACCAAAAUCUUUAUAUCCAGCCCAGAUAUCAAAUCUGGAAUUCCAAAAUAGUGUUUAGACAUUGUUUUUUUUUAAAUCAGUGUUUCUUCUGGUGGGUUAAAAUGGUUAUUUGCUCAAAGCAUGCAUCCCUUGUUUUGUUUGCUGCAAAGCAUUUACAGUGUUUUCUCAGUAAAGUAUGUUUCUUCAGUCAGUUCUGAUUGAAAUUGUGGGGUUCAGAUUGGAUACAUUCUGAAAAUGUAAGUGUUAAGCCACUUAAAAGGGAUCAAUACUGUUUUUGAUACUUAAUAUUUAUUGUACAUUUGGUUUGGUUUUAUAAUUUCCCUUUGUAUUGAACAGCUAAACAUUUAGUGCUACUGGAGCUUAAUUGUCACUCUACAGACUGAAUACUCUGAGUUCUACAGUCCUGCUGUAUAGGCCUCUCACUCAUCACUACCUGUUCCACUUCCACUGAGUGUUUUUAUGAUCACUGUAUUCUGAUGAGCCAAAGCAUUAAGACCACCUCAGCCUAAUAUACUGCUGGUGCUUGACUUGCCACCAAAACAGCUCCAACCUGCGAGGCGUCGACUCCAUCAGACCUCUGAAUGUCCCUGUGGCAUCUGGCACCAAGACGUUAGCGGCAGAUCCUUUAAGUCUCGUAAGUUGUGAGAUGGAGGCGUCACAGAUCAGACUUGGUCCAGCACAUCCCGCAAGACCGUGUCGACAGUUCGUGGUUUGUCCCUCCUCGGGACCACUGCUGACCAGGAGCACCCUGCAUGCAUUGCUCUUUUGGAGAUGGUCCCACCCAGUCGUCUGGUCCUAACGCUUUGGUCUUUGCUAGUCACUCGGGUCUUUCCACCUGCUCAUUUCUAACAGAUCCUACAAGUUGAUUACAAGAACCCACCGUUCACUCAGAGUCUAAUAUAUCCCAGACCUUUGCACCAUUGUUAGGAGAUAUUCAUAGUUAUUCCAUUAUCUCUGAGUGGUCAUAAUGUUUUGGUUCAUCAGUGCAUAUCCCACAUUGUAAUGUAACUACCUCCUCUCAUUUGCUUGUCUGAUGUCCUGUUCAAAUUGGGCUGAUUUUAAUAUCAAGUAAAAUUACUUA